rnacentral:pre_miRNA from 1 species
AGUGGGAUAACUGGGUCAAAUGGUGGUUGCAUUCCAAAUUUUCUGAGGAAUCUCAAUACUGCUUUCCAUAGUGGUUGCACCAAUUGGCAUUCCUACCAGCAAU